AUUGAACGCUGGCGGCAUGCCUUACACAUGCAAGUCGAACGGCAGCACGGGAGCUUGCUCCUGGUGGCGAGUGGCGAACGGGUGAGUAAUACAUCGGAACGUACCCUGAAGUGGGGGAUAACGUAGCGAAAGUUACGCUAAUACCGCAUAUUCUGUGAGCAGGAAAGAGGGGGAUCGCAAGACCUCUUGCUUUAGGAGCGGCCGAUGUCGGAUUAGCUAGUUGGUGAGGUAAAGGCUCACCAAGGCGACGAUCCGUAGCGGGUCUGAGAGGAUGAUCCGCCACACUGGGACUGAGACACGGCCCAGACUCCUACGGGAGGCAGCAGUGGGGAAUUUUGGACAAUGGGCGCAAGCCUGAUCCAGCCAUGCCGCGUGAGUGAAGAAGGCCUUCGGUGUAAGCUCUUCGUGGGAGGAAACGGUACGUGCGCU
rnacentral:rRNA from 1 species